UUAGAGUUUGAUUCCUGCUCAGGAUGAACGCUGGCGGUCUGCUUAACACAUGCAAGUCGAACGGGCUCUUCGGAGCUAGUGGCGGACGGGUGAGUAACACGUGAGAAUCUGGCUCCCGGUCGGGGACAACAGAGGGAAACUUCUGCUAAUCCCGGAUGAGCCGAAAGGUAAAAGAUUUAUCGUCGGGAGAUGAGCUCGCGUCUGAUUAGCUAGUUGGUGAGGUAAAGGCUCACCAAGGCGACGAUCAGUAGCUGGUCUGAGAGGAUGAUCAGCCACACUGGGACUGAGACACGGCCCAGACUCCUACGGGAGGCAGCAGUGGGGAAUUUUCCGCAAUGGGCGCAAGCCUGACGGAGCAAGACCGCGUGGGGGAGGAAGGCUCUUGGGUUGUAAACCCCUUUUCUCAAGGAAGA
rnacentral:rRNA from 1 species